UACGUAGGGGGCAAGCGUUGUCCGGAUUUAUUGGGCGUAAAGGGCUCGUAGGCGGUCUGUCGCGUCGAAAGUGAAAACCCAGGGCUUAACCCUGGGCCUGCUUCCGAUACGGGCAGACUAGAGGUAUGCAGGGGAGAACGGAAUUCCUGGUGUAGCGGUGAAAUGCGCAGAUAUCAGGAGGAACACCGGUGGCGAAGGCGGUUCUCUGGGCAUUACCUGACGCUGAGGAGCGAAAGUGUGGGGAGCGAACAGG
rnacentral:rRNA from 1 species